rnacentral:pre_miRNA from 1 species
UUAACUCAGAUUUGUAUGGAGUUUGCACGUUUGCCUACGUUUGCCGCCAGGGGCGCUGUUCCAACUAAAUACUAAGUUGAGUUA